GCUUUGUGACCUGGGACUAGUCUGUGUGUGACAUUGUUGGGUGCCCCAGCCUGCUGCCUUAGUCACCUUAGUCAGUUGAGGGAGUGAGCCCUACCGGUUCUGAGGAGAGGGAGGGAGGUGGUUCCCUCUCCACAGACUGGAUUGGGAACAUGGGCCACCCCUCCCUUCCUGUGCAGAGGUGGCUUCUCUACUCCUUGCCUGGUUAUAUCUCCAGGCAUUUUUGCCUCCAGGCAUUUGGUGUACCUGCUCCCACCCCUGCAGGGUUACUUGCCCUCUCUCCAGACUUGAGCUGAGACUGGUCCCACCCAUCGUGGGACUCUGUCCUGCCCGGGCAGUCUUAGGCUUUCUAUUUUUGCAUCACUCAAUCCUGAACAGACAUUCACCAGAAUGUGCUCAGACUGUGCUCAAUUCUGACAACCACAAAAGGCUGACAGGAUUCAGGGGAGCUGCAGAAUUCCUGGAGGUCUAACAAUUAAAGCAGAUUGUCCCUGGGGGAGGAAGAGUACAGCACAACAAAGCACCCCUUGGGACAAAGGAGAUUAGGGUGGCACUCUCCUGUGCUCUAAAGCUACUUGCUUGGGAGCUGAAAGUGAUUUCAUACCUCCCAGCACAGAUGCAGGUGCAGCUCUGGGCUCUGUAUGGGAGGAUCAUGGUUUUAUCUCAGUGGCCAGGUGGCACCCGUGCUCAGAAACAGAUAUAAGAGGGGGACUUCUCCUCCCAGCUUCCCCCACCCACUGCUGCAC
rnacentral:lncRNA from 1 species